UCCGGGGGGGGUAAGCGUUGUUCGGAAUUACUGGGCGUAAAGGGCUCGUAGGCGGCCAACUAAGUCAGACGUGAAAUCCCUCAGCUUAACUGGGGAACUGCGUCUGAUACUGGAUGGCUUGGAUUCGGGAGAGGAAUGCGGAAUUCCAGGUGUAGCGGUGAAAUGCGCAGAUAUCGGGAAGAACACCCGUGGCGAAGGCGGCUCUCUGGGACGGUACUGACGCUGAGACGCGAAAGCGUGGGGAGCGAACAGG
rnacentral:rRNA from 1 species